GGGGAAGCCGUAGCGAAAGCGAGUCCGAAUAGGGCGACUGAGUGGCACGAUCAAGACCCCGAAGCGAAGUGAUCUAUCCAUGGGCAGGUUGAAGCGCGGGUAAGACCGCGUGGAGGACCGAACCCACUUAGGUUGAAAACUGAGGGGAUGACCUGUGGAUAGGGGUGAAAGGCCAAUCAAACUUCGUGAUAGCUGGUUCUCCCCGAAAUGCAUUUAGGUGCAGCGUUGCGUGUUUCUUGCCGGAGGUAGAGCACUGGAUGGUCUAGGGGGCCCACAAGCUUACCGAAAUCAGCCAAACUCCGAAUGCCGGUAAGUGAGAGCGCAGCAGUGAGACUGCGGGGGAUAAGCUCCGUAGUCGAGAGGGAAACAGCCCAGACCAUCAGCUAAGGUCCCUAAGCGAUAACUAAGUGGAAAAGGAUGUGAAGUCGCAGAGACAACCAGGAGGUUGGCUUAGAAGCAGCCACCCUUGAAAGAGUGCGUAAUAGCUCACUGGUCAAGUGAUUUCGCGCCGAC
rnacentral:rRNA from 1 species